UAGCUGCGUUAACUGGUGUGAAUUGCAGGACACGCCGAGCACUAAGUUUUCGAACGCAUAUUGCGGCUAUGGGCCUUCCCAUAGCCUCGUCUGUCUGAGGGUCGGUUAAUAACAAAACAUCGUAAGAGUCCGUUCGAGGCGCGAGCCUAGUUGCUUGUCUCGUCGGGCUUUGGUCGAUGCGAUGUUUCGCUGAGAGUUGCAGCGGCAUCGGUCCGGCGCGACGUGUCGGAACGCUCUGUCGUUUGUAUGCAACUGUUAGGUGAUCGUCGUAUGCUGUCUAUCUUAACUGUGUGUGUUGCUUGCAUUGCUUGCACACACACACUUUACCAUCUGUCGACCUCAGAUCAGGCGAGAUUACCCGCUGAAUUUAA
rnacentral:misc_RNA from 1 species